GGAAAAGGCACAAAAAUGGGGAAAGAACCAACAUGGCAUGAAUUACUAGGAAGCAACAACUGGGAAGGUCUUCUUGAACCAUUACACCUCAAUCUCCGGCGACUCAUACUCCGGUGCGGCGACUUUUGUCAAGCAACUUACGACGCCUUCAACAAUGACGAAUACUCCAUGUACUGUGGCAGUAGUCGUUACGGUAAAAGUUCACU
rnacentral:misc_RNA from 1 species